UACAGAGGUCUCAAGCGUUGUUCGGAUUUACUGGGCGUAAAGGGCGCGUAGGCGGCGCGGUAAGUCACUUGUGAAAUCUCUGAGCUUAACUCAGAACGGCCAAGUGAUACUGCAGUGCUAGAGUGCAGAAGGGGCAAUCGGAAUUCUUGGUGUAGCGGUGAAAUGCGUAGAUAUCAAGAGGAACACCUGAGGUGAAGACGGGUUGCUGGGCCAACACUGACGCUGAGGCGCGAAAGCUAGGGGAGCGAACAGG
rnacentral:rRNA from 1 species